AUGUGCUACUCGGUCCCCAUUUGUCAUUUGUUCAAACGACAUUUAUUCAAAUCUGCAAAUGACGUUUGGAGAACAGCCCUGCUGUGCCUCUCCGCCCCCCUCCCAUGGCCGCCUCCACGGCAGGGUCGGCCCCUCCGCACAGGGGCUCCGCACGCAGCCGGGCCGGCCGGAGGUGAGCCAGACUCCCCUCGCUGGGACCAGCACGCGGCUCCCACCUGCGGCUCUUCCAGCCGCACCCCAAAUCCCCUCGUGAGGCGCCCCUCGGGCCCCCGGCCGCCCUGCCCCCGUGACCGAGGCUCGCUGGGGUCCCUCAGCAUUCCUGCUCCGGGGCAGCGCGGAAGCCGGACCAGGCCGCUGCGGCCUCGCCUCACUUCCCACUCCAGGGCCCGGCUCCCGCGUCAGCCGAAGAGUCGGGGCGACGGGCAGAGGCUCCGCCGCCGCCUCCCAGCUCAUCUGCCCGAGAUGCGCGCCGGCUGCGCGGCUGCGCGGCGCCCUGACUGUCGCCCACCGUCCUCUCCCUCCCCUGCCGACGACCUCCUCGCUGUGUGGCCUCGACUUCCUCCCAGGACCCGACAAAGAACAAACACCCAGAAACACCUCCAAACCCGCCUGUGCCCCGCUCACUGCCGCGUCCCGAGGACGCCCUCCCGCUUCCCCCUCAGCCCCUCACCCCCAGCCUCCAGGGCGCGGGCGACCGCUGAGCCCAGACCCAGUCCGGCGGCCCAGUCAGGCGGCCCAGUGCGGUGCCUUCCGAGCCCGUCCCUCCACAGACAGGCAGGCAGGCAAACAGGCAGACACACACACACACAAGACACACAGACACACACACACACACAGACACACACACAGACAGGCAAACACACACAGACACACAGACACACACACACGCAGACAGACACAGACAGGCAAAUACACAGACACACACACACAGACACACAGACACACACACACACAGACACACACAGAGACACAGACACAAGACACACACAAAAACAAAGACACACACAGACACACACAGAGACACAGACACAGACACAAGACACACACACAAAGACACACACAGACACACACACAGACACACACACACAGACACACAGAGAGACACACACAGACACCCAUACACACACACAGGCACAGACACACAAACCGACAUACACACAGACACGCACACACAGACACACACACAGAGACACACAAACACACAUACACACACAGACAUACUACACACAUAGACACACACAUACACACACACACAGACACACACAGACACACACACAGAGGCACACACAGAGGCAGACACACACACACAGAGACAGACAUACACACAGACUGACACAGACACACACAGAAACACACACACAGAUGCACAAACACAGAUACACACGCUGA
rnacentral:lncRNA from 1 species